GUGCGCGACAGGUAGAGAUGGCAACCGGGGUGUGGACGCCCCGCACAUCCGCACAGCCUCCGCACUAACCUGCUGCGGGUGAGUGCGGGUGACGUACGGGUGACGUACGGGUGUGCGGUGCGUCCCCCCGCCUCGUACCCCGAUUGCCAUCUCAACCUGUCGCGUACUAUAGGUACCUUUAAUAUUUUUUACAUAAACUCUUUCAAUAGAAGCUCCCAGAUCGCAAUACUAAAAUAUUAUUUUCGAGUGGUUAUUUUUUCAACAUAUUUAGUUAGUAUAAUGAAAUAAGAAUAGAACUUAUGUUUUUUUUAAGUUAAAUGGAAAUAUUUUUAGCCAAAAGAUCUUUUGUAGAGCUUGUAUCGAAACAGAUAUUUGUUUUGUGUUAUAUUUAUUUAUAGUAUAUUUUCAUGUGCAUUAAUUUUUAUACUUAGCAAGCAUCAAUUGCACAUAAGUUAUUGCCAUUUGCCGUUCAAGAAUAAAUGUUUGUGUUUGAAUUGCAAAGAAAAUUGGUAAGUUUCUUAGGAAGCUUAGGCCACAACUUAUUGAAUUAAAACAAACAUAAAUAAAACUCGAAAACGAAUAAUUACUACAAUUAAACAAACUAAUAAUUUAUAAGGACAGCAUCAUCCAUGUUGAUAUCGAAAU